CGCUCCAAUGGCCCAGUGGUUAGAGCAUCCGCCUCGGAUGCGGGAGGUCAUGAGUUCAAUCCCCGGUGGAGUGG